UAAGUCAGGGUUGAAAGUCGGUUGCUCAACGAUCGAAUUGCCUUUGAAACUGUCAGGCUCGAGUAUGGAUGCGGUAGNCGGAAUGUGUAGUGUAGCGGUGAAAUGCAUAGAUAUUACACAGAACACCGAUUGCGAAGGCAGCUUACCAAACCAGCACUGACGCUGAAGCACGAAAGCGUGGGGAGCGAACAGGAUUAGGUACCCUGGUAGUCCACGCCGUAAACUUUGCUCACUCGCUGUUGGCGAUAGACAGUCAGCGGCCAAGGGAAACCGAUAAGUGAGCCACCUGGGGAGUACGGCCGCAAGGUUGAAACUCAAAGGAAUUGACGGGGGCCCGCACAAGCGGUGGAACAUGUGGUUUAAUUCGAUGAUACGCGAGGAACCUUACCUGGGCUUAAAUGUGAAGUGCAUUGAUUGGAAACAAUCAGUUCCUUCGGGACCCUUUACAAGGUGCUGCAUGGUUGUCGUCAGCUCGUGCCGUGAGGUGUCGGGUUAAGUCCCAUAACGAGCGCAACCCCUAUUGUUAGUUACCAGCGCGUAAUGGCGGGGACUCUAGCGAAACUGCCGGUGUAAACCGCGAGGAAGGUGGGGAUGACGUCAAAUCAGCACGGCCCUUAUGUCCAGGGCUACACACGUGUUACAAUGGCCGGUACAGCGGGCAGCUAGGCAGCGAUGUCAUGCUGAUCCCGAAAGCCGGUCCCAGUUCGGAUUGGAGUCUGCAACCCGACUCCAUGAAGGUGGAAUCGCUAGUAAUCGCGCAUCAGCCAUGGCGCGGUGAAUACGUUCCCGGGCAUUGUACACACCGCCCGUCAAGCCAUGGAAGUCUGGGGUGCCUGAAGGCCGUAACCGCAAGGAGCGGUCUAGGGUAAACAGAUGACUG
rnacentral:rRNA from 1 species